rnacentral:rRNA from 1 species
GAUAAACGCUGGCGGCAUGCUUAACACAUGCAAGUCGAACGGGCCCUUCGGGGUUAGUGGCGGACGGGUGAGUAACGCGUGGGAACCUGCCCUGGGGUGGGGAUAACCGCUGGAAACGGCGGCUAAUACCGCAUGUGCCUUGAGGGGCAAAGGUCUUUAUGGCCGCCUUGGGAGGGCCCGCGUCUGAUUAGCUUGUUGGUGGGGUAAACGGCCUACCAAGGCUUCGAUCGGUAGCUGGUCUGAGAGGAUGAUCAGCCACACUGGGACUGAGACACGGCCCAGACACCUACGGGUGGCAG